rnacentral:misc_RNA from 1 species
GUGAAUCAUCAAAUCUUUGAACGCAAAUUGCACUCCCUGGUAUUCCGGGGAGUAUGCCUGUUUGAGGGUCGUUAAAAUAAAAAAUCGAUGCGUCGCUCUUUUUUUUAAGUGUGAUCGCGUCGGAAUUGAGCCGUCUUUCAAAUGGUAAAUCAUUUCAAAAUAGCGUAAAAUUCAUCCAUCCUGUACGACUAAAGCGUAUUUAAUAUCAACUUUGAUUAAGAAUGCCC